rnacentral:ncRNA from 19 species
AUCUUUGCCCCCCGAAAUGGUUCAGAAUCCGUAUCCAACGGACGACGAUUAAUAGGGAAUCGGGUGUAAGUCCCGAACAGUCCCGCUGCUGUGAAGCUCUGUUCAAUGUCUUAUAAUUGAACUAAUUUAACGCCACUGAUGUUAAUCGGGAAGGCAAAUAAGACAAGAGUCAGUCAGAAGACCUGCCAUUUUGUGUAAGACGCUC